rnacentral:rRNA from 1 species
UGCAGUAGAACGCUGAAGAGAGGAGCUUGCUCUUCUUGGAUGAGUUGCGAACGGGUGAGUAACGCGUAGGUAACCUGCCUUGUAGCGGGGGAUAACUAUUGGAAACGAUAGCUAAUACCGCAUAACAAUGGAUGACACAUGUCAUUUAUUUGAAAGGGGCAAUUGCUCCACUACAAGAUGGACCUGCGUUGUAUUAGCUAGUAGGUGAGGUAAUGGCUCACCUAGGCGACGAUACAUAGCCGACCUGAGAGGGUGAUCGGCCACACUGGGACUGAGACACGGCCCAGACUCCUACGGGAGGCAGCAGUAGGGAAUCUUCGGCAAUGGGGGCAACCCUGACCGAGCAACGCCGCGUGAGUGAAGAAGGUUUUCGGAUCGUAAAGCUCUGUUGUAAGUCAAGAACGGGUGUGAGAGUGGAAAGUUCACACUGUGACGGUAGCUUACCAGAAAGGGACGGCUAACUACGUGCCAGCAGCCGCGGUAAUACGUAGGUCCCGAGCGUUGUCCGGAUUUAUUGGGCGUAAAGCGAGCGCAGGCGGUUUGAUAAGUCUGAAGUUAAAGGCUGUGGCUCAACCAUAGUUCGCUUUGGAAACUGUCAAACUUGAGUGCAGAAGGGGAGAGUGGAAUUCCAUGUGUAGCGGUGAAAUGCGUAGAUAUAUGGAGGAACACCGGUGGCGAAAGCGGCUCUCUGGUCUGUAACUGACGCUGAGGCUCGAAAGCGUGGGGAGCGAACAGGAUUAGAUACCCUGGUAGUCCACGCCGUAAACGAUGAGUGCUAGGUGUUGGAUCCUUUCCGGGAUUCAGUGCCGCAGCUAACGCAUUAAGCACUCCGCCUGGGGAGUACGACCGCAAGGUUGAAACUCAAAGGAAUUGACGGGGGCCCGCACAAGCGGUGGAGCAUGUGGUUUAAUUCGAAGCAACGCGAAGAACCUUACCAGGUCUUGACAUCCCGAUGCUAUUUCUAGAGAUAGAAAGUUACUUCGGUACAUCGGUGACAGGUGGUGCAUGGUUGUCGUCAGCUCGUGUCGUGAGAUGUUGGGUUAAGUCCCGCAACGAGCGCAACCCCUAUUGUUAGUUGCCAUCAUUCAGUUGGGCACUCUAGCGAGACUGCCGGUAAUAAACCGGAGGAAGGUGGGGAUGACGUCAAAUCAUCAUGCCCCUUAUGACCUGGGCUACACACGUGCUACAAUGGUUGGUACAACGAGUUGCGAGUCGGUGACGGCGAGCUAAUCUCUUAAAGCCAAUCUCAGUUCGGAUUGUAGGCUGCAACUCGCCUACAUGAAGUCGGAAUCGCUAGUAAUCGCGGAUCAGCACGCCGCGGUGAAUACGUUCCCGGGCCUUGUACACACCGCCCGUCACACCACGAGAGUUUGUAACACCCGAAGUCGGUGAGGUAACCUUUUGGAGCCAGCC